AUUGAACGCUGGCGGAAUGCUUUACACAUGCAAGUCGAACGGCAGCACGGGGCAACCUGGUGGCGAGUGGCGAACGGGUGAGUAAUAUAUCGGAACGUGCCCAAUCGUGGGGGAUAACGUAGCGAAAGUUACGCUAAUACCGCAUACGAUCUACGGAUGAAAGCGGGGAUCGCAAGACCUCGCGCGAAUGGAGCGGCCGAUAUCGGAUUAGGUAGUUGGUGGGGUAAAGGCUCACCAAGCCAACGAUCUGUAGCUGGUCUGAGAGGACGACCAGCCACACUGGAACUGAGACACGGUCCAGACUCCUACGGGAGGCAGCAGUGGGGAAUUUUGGACAAUGGGCGCAAGCCUGAUCCAGCCAUUCCGCGUGCAGGAUGAAGGCCUUCGGGUUGUAAACUGCUUUGUACGGAACGAAACGGUACUGCCCUAAUACGGCAGGCUAAUGACGGUACCGUAAGAAUAAGCACCGGCUAACUACGUGCCAGCAGCCGCGGUAAU
rnacentral:rRNA from 1 species